CGAUGACGUUCCUCUUGCUGUCUAAAGCUUUGGGCAGUGGGAUUUUAGGUCAUCGUAUAUUAAACUGGCUUUCUUCACUCGGGGCAUGUUUGGACGGGUUGGCUGUCUAGUUGGUGCUCCUGAAAUUUGCGGGGUCAGACAUUG